CCUACGGGGGGCAGCAGUAGGGAAUUUUCGGCAAUGGGGGGAACCCUGACCGAGCAACGCCGCGUGAACGAUGAAGGUCUUCGGAUCGUAAAGUUCUGUUGUAGCUAGGGAAAGCACGGGAGAGUGGAAAGCUCUCGUUUUGACCCAACUACCAGAAAGCCACGGCUAACUACGUGCCAGCAGCCGCGGUAAUACGUAGGUGGCAAGCGUUAUCCGGAAUUAUUGGGCGUAAAGAGUGAGCAGGCGGCCGUUUAAGUCUGAAGUCAAAUGCAGUGGCUUAACCACUGUCCGCUUUGGAAACUGGAUGGCUAGAGUACGAGAGAAGUAAGCGGAAUUCCAUGUGUAGCGGUGAAAUGCGUAGAUAUAUGGAGGAACACCAGAGGCGAAGGCGGCUUACUAGAUCGAUACUGACGCUCAGUCACGAAAGCGUGGGUAGCAAAUAGGAUUAGAUACCCCAGUAGUC
rnacentral:rRNA from 1 species